AGGAGAGGAGGAUGUGGCUGCCGAUGGCAAUUUUCUCAGUUUGCUGCUUUGCCACUCCUUGCUGUCGAGGAAGGCAGAGGCUGCCUGGGAGAGCCCGGUCCCCGGAUUGGCUUGUUACUCCACAGAGUGGAAAUGCUGUGAUUGAACUCAGAGCUCCCGAGCUCAACCUGUGCCUUGACAAACAACAUGAAGACGAGAGCAAGGCACCACUCAAUCAUCUUUCUUCCAGUGCAUCUAGGAAUUUCAUCUGGGAAAUUAAUGUCUGAUCCUACUAGGGAAAUUUGAAACAACCACUAUAAAAUGCUAAAAUCCCCCCCUCCCUGAAUGAUUUAAUGGACAGUGCAUAUGCAUGAAGUUUAGAACAGAUCUGCCCAAUAGGACUUUUUGAAGGAUGGAAAUGUUCCAUAUCUGGACUGUCCAAUAUGGUAACCAGUAGCCCCAUAUGGGCACUGAGAAAAUGAAUUAUAGCUGUUACAACUGGGGAACUAGAUUUUAAACUAUGUGAGUUUUUUCUUUUUAUUUAAUAUGAAUUAGAACAAUUCUAUUGAACUAAAAUUUACAUACCACACAAUUUACAAAUGUAAAAUGUAGGAUUCAAUAGGUUUUAGGACAUUGACAGAGUUGUACAACUAUACUACAAUCAAAUUUAAGUUAUUUUUGAUAUCCCAAAGCAAACCACUGUAUCCACUAGCUAUGAUCUCUCAAUUUCUCCCCUCUACAUCUAGGCAACUGAGAAUAGCACUGAGCUGUUCUUUACCAUCACAGAUUUUCCUAUUCUGGAAAUCUCUUUUUUGUUGUUGUUGUUCAAAAUAGACUAUGCUUAUAACAACGAUAAAGAUCUAAACUAUGCAAAAUUUAAUCAUUUUAAAUUUAAAAUUAAAUUUGGCCAUAAUCUCUACAAAUUACAUGCAUUAGAGCCUGGUAAACAUGAUAAGAUACUGAAUAAAUCCCACUAGUGAGGAAAAUGUGGUAACAUUUUCAGAAAAGUUAUAACUAUUCAUUCAAUUAUUUUCUCUAGCCCCCAAGACUAGUAACAUCUUUGUAAGUUGCAUUUGAUCUUACUUCUGUUGGUCUGAAUCCUAUAUCCCAGCAAAGAGAUGAAAGGAAAGAAAAUGCUAACUCAUAAAGUGAUGCAUUUAGGCUGAGGUUUGGAGCAAGACAACGAGCAGAACAACCUGAAUUGUUUCGAGGCAGUCCAUGAGCUAGGCAACAAGAAGUUACCAGGUGUGAGAAUGGGAACACCUGGCAAAACAGUGCCGAUCCUCAUUGUGAGCAGAGCCAGUGCUCUGGCAUUCCUUCCUUCCUUCCUUCAUCUAUUCAUCCAACAGUGACGAAGUCUCUACUCCAGAUACAUCAUAUCCUGGGAUAAUGAAAAGAUUCGUGGAAACUCAAAAGAUCAAGAAGCUCCUCUUAGGAAACGAAGGUGGGACCCAGCAUUUUUGGGAAUUGCAACCCAUUGAAUAGAAGAAUUCAGGAGCUCUAGAAUUUUUUCCUAGCAAGGAGCAAGUUGAAGAUGGACUUACAGCCCUUUACUGAGUGCCCAGUGCUGGCUGCUAGAUUUCCCAAUUUCUGAUGACCUGAAUGGAGGGAGGAAAUGUGGUUAAGGAGUUUAAUCCCAACCCAGCCACUGACUGUGUGAUUUGGACAGUUGGUUCUCACUGCCUGGCACCCUCAUCUAUAAACAGGGAGAAUCAAAUUUGUGAAUGCAGAUCGGGAGCUGUCAUCAAUGUCAAAGGAAGGGACAAGGAUAUCAAAGUAUAUGUAAUCCCAGCUUCUCUUCUUCCUAGGAGGAUUUUGUAUUUCAGAUUUUUUUGCUCAGAGUAAGAUUGCAGAAAAAAGGAAAUGAGACUACUACAGAAGAACAUUAUGGAGCCGAAGUUGUAGAAGAGAUGAAGAGGAAGGCUAGUAUUUGAAGGGACCAGAGCAGCAGAGAGGCUGAAAGCAUGAUGGGAGCUUUGGGGAGGACAGUAGAGAGCCUUUUAGGCAGUUUGCUUUGUGCUGUGUGAAAUGAUUUUCCCCUGGUUUCCUCUGCAAAUGACUUCAGGAAAACACUGGCUCAAGGAUCUUGAGGUCAGAUGUACUAUAUGAUGUCUUUGCAUUGGGUAUUAGCCUCAAAGCUCUGGCAAUAAGGCCUACCUAAAUUCAACAACCUUCUUAUUUGCUAACAAAAUCAAUCUAAGCCUUGUAGAUCUGUCUGGGGGUUACAGUUGUCCAAGAUCAGCCCUUUCUCAUUGUCCAUCUCCUCAAUUUAUUUUUCAAUUUUUAACAAUAAAUAUGGACCACUUAUAAAAGAUUAUUUGAAACAUUUCCAGGCCAGGGUCAACCAGUUGCUCAUCAGUGACAGGAGAUGGAGCAAAGUUCUGAGGCAAGACGCACUUUACACACUGGGUCACACAGAAGAAAUGGCUGGGGAAGAUCUAUGUCAAACCUGGAUGUGUGGCCUUGCUGUAGAUUGCUGGCAAUGAAUGUUGCCAUGGUCUGCAAAGGCCUGCAGGGAGAGGAGUUUACAGGAUCAGCUCAGAAAGAUUGCUAGGCACAGGUGGGUUUUUUUUUUUUUUUUCAAAAUCCCAUCCAAAAGCAUUUACUUUAAUAAAUAUACUGAGAUGAAAUAAUAAUCAUGUCACUGGUGCAUAAGAAGGAUAAUAAGAUAUUAAUAUACAGCCCAAAUAAAUUCAACUCCCUUUGAGAGAAAUAGCUAACUUGCCAAUAUGUAUGAAUCAAUUUAACUUACAAAGGGAGAAGAGUUGUUCGUUGGAGUACACUGAGAGUAGUGAUUAAUAGACUGCCAAUUCUAAUAUGAAUUUUGUUUCUGUCCCAGGGAGGGUUUAAAAUUCAUUGUAUUUUUAGGCAUACAAUUCUUCUACACCUAUUUUUUUUCAAUUUUAAACUUUAUAGGUUCUCUCUGUGAAAAAAGAAAAAAUGAGGGAAGGGUUGAAAGUGAAAUGUAAAACCUUGCAAACCUUCCUUUUUAAUGUGUGUAAGCAUAUAAAUACUUAGGCAUUUAAAUAGUAAGAUUAUGUUUUACACAUUGUGUUUGUAACUUGGGGUUUUUGAUGCUCGUUAAUUGAUUUAAUAGCUUUUUCCUGAGUAUCUAUUAGGCCCAUGGCAUUUUAUUAGGCUCUGAGGGGUAGCAUGGGGCUAUUCUCAGAGGUCAGAGUUUAGGGGAGGAGGAAAGAGAAUAAGUAGGUAAAUAAGCAUACAGUUGUAAACACAUACACAAUGUCUACUGUAUACAUUAUGUAAUUACGCUUUUCAAAGCACGCUGAUAGGAAGGAGAAGAAGUGGGAGGCAGAACAAUGAGCAGGUUAUAUUCAGUAAAAGGAGCCAUGGAUACUGCUCUGAGAAGGUGACACAGAAGGCAGGACCCAAGGACAAGUCACAAGACAGCCUUAGCGCAAGAAGGUAGAGUUUCAAUCAGAUAUGUUACACUAAAUAAAAACCCAAUUUGGCUGACACUACACCUCCCUUGCAAAAGAGGAAACUGAGGCUCAGGGAGUCUGAGGAGCCUUUUCAAAGCCACACAUUAACUUCUGCAAGAGUUCGCAUAGGUUUUAUGUUCAGUCAUCAAGUUGCUAAACAAUUGAGCUUUAUCCCAAAGCUUCAAUGGUAGACUUCAAGUGGAAUGCAUUAUCUGCUUAUAAAAGUCACACUGAUUAUUGUCAACUUUAUCAUCAUUGUCAUUGUCACUGUCAUCACCAUCAGCAGCAGCUAAAGCUAGCAAAGGCUCUACUAGCCAUGCAGGAGCCAGCAGCACACAAAAAGCCAAACUCCCUCUUGCCUAUGACCCAUCUGUCAGUGGAGCCCUCUGUGAAUGGAUGCUGGAUGCCGGUGAGCAUUUGCAUUUGGUUGUUCAUUCCACAUUUUUGCCCUUUCAGCCCUUCCCAUAAGCAUGUAUAAGGGAUACAAAGCCAUUUUAAUGCACAAAUGGCCAGGGGGUGCCUCUGGUUUUGGUAUCUAUUUAUAUCCAUAUAGCCAGAUGGAAAUCUAUCCUUAAGGUCCUAACAUGCACUAUUAAAGGAGAAAAACAAAAGCCACCAGGUCAAAGCAUGAGUCCCAGUGGGAAGUUAUUAGGAUCAUGGUGGUAUUACUCCAAGUCUGGUCCAUCAUUAUACAUGAAUCGUCAGUGCAUAUUGGGUAAGGCAAAGGGGAGCAGAGCAUUCCACUCUGAGGCUGUAUGUAUGCAUGUGUGUGUGUGUGUGUGCGCGCGCGCGCAUGUGUGCAAUUUUUUUACAGAACCAUAAUAAUGGGAAUUUAUUGAUCAUCUGUAUAUGCCUAAACCUUUGAAGAAGGCAGUAGGUUUAAAUAGAAUAAAGAGAACAAGCUGGAGUUUGAAGGUCUAUAUCAAGAAUGUUUGAGAUUCAUUCCUAAAACUUACUAUAUAAGCAAUUCUAAUAACAUAAAUGAUAUUAAAUAUUUAAGAAUGUAAAGAAUUGGAGAAGAUUACCUUUAUCAGGUAAGCAUUCCAAUGGAGAAAUUUAGGCAACUUUUAUUAAUUAAAUUUCUUAAAGUCUUAUUUUUUUUCUGUGACUCUUAGCUAAGCAGUUAGCUGAGUGCAUAGUAGGAUAUAAAUAAAAAUAAAUAGUAAUAACUUUUUAUGAAGGGGAAAAACCCAGUGAGUUUACAACUGUGUUGAGAUUUCUUGCCUCAAAUCUUCCACAAAAUUUUGUUAAGAAAUCUAUUUCAGACCACUGCUGAUUUAUAGAGUCCUUUCUCCUAUUGUAAUUUAUUUCUCCUUUCUCCAUGUUUAAGUGGUAUGGAAUAUCUAUGAAGAAUUGAAAUAAGCACACACAUCAUUAUGUUCAUUUCUAAUGCAUUAAAACUCAGCU
ensembl:lncRNA